GAGUUUGAUCGUGGCUCAGAUUGAACGCUGGCGGCAGGCCUAACACAUGCAAGUCGAACGGUAACAGGAAGAAGCUUGCUUCUUUGCUGACGAGUGGCGGACGGGUGAGUAAUGUCUGGGAAACUGCCUGAUGGAGGGGGAUAACUACUGGAAACGGUAGCUAAUACCGCAUAACGUCGCAAGACCAAAGAGGGGGACCUUCGGGACCUC
rnacentral:rRNA from 1 species